rnacentral:lncRNA from 1 species
GUUGAUUGAUCGGUAUGAAGCAAGAGCAUACUGACCUUUGUUGCUUUCUUUUGCUGUAAUACUGAUAAAAUGUCCACCAUGAUGAAUACGAGAGUAUAUAUUUUCUAGUGGUUUUGUCUUUGUGGAUGACCUCAGGCCAGCAGACUGGCAGCAGGAGCCAUGCAGAGAGCAGAGGAACCAUGCUGGGUAGCACGGCCAGCUCAUCCUCUAAGCCCAGAGCCCAGCUUGCAGCAGAAGUAGAUGAGCAUCCAGAAGGAGAAGAAGAAGGGAAGAUGAGAAAGGAUGAAGAUAAUACCGUUUAUCUGUUGGAAACCAAUCCCAGUACCACCGACCGUUGACAUUGCCAACCUUUCUUCUUUUCUUAUCAUUCUGUCUCAUUUUUGGUCCUGUGGAGUGUUUAAUUCUUAUAGAGAUGUGCUUCUCAUGGUGUUGUCUCGGUUUCUGAGAAGAUGUAUCAGUCGCGUCAGCAUUGACAACUCCUGCACAGGUAUGAUGAGAACAGAACAGGUGUUCUCAAAAAAAGAUGUAACUUUUAAAAACUUGGAGAUUGAAGAUCACAAUGGAUCAUCAAAAAAUGCAAAAGAAUCAGUCAUAUCUGGAACCCAUGUUGGAAAAUAUCAAGAAUAGAGGAAGGACAAGGAGAUUUAUUUGAUGUAGCAAGUUCAGAGAGGGAUUCAGGAACAUUAGAGAAGAAUUUGAAAAGUGUGAUCCGGAAAAAAGUAGUCAAGUUGUGGCAUGUGGGACGCUGCCUCAGUGUGGUUUGAUGAGCAGUGCCAUGUCCGCGCCCAGGAUUCGAACCAACGAAACACUGGGCCGCCUACAGCGGAGCGCGGGAACUUAACCACUCGGCCACAGGGCCAGCCCCCAAGGUUGGAAAGGAAGAUGUCAUUUCAGUCCUGAAAAAGUUUGACUUGCAUCUGAAGGACGAAUAUUUUGACGAUUUCCUGAAGAGAUGCGACCUUCUAAACAGUCUGACUGGCCGUAGGAAUUUGGAUACCUGAGAAACAUCCAGGAUGGCAGCGAUGAAGGGACCACGCGCAGUCCUCUCCAAGCCCGUGCGCAGGUUGCACGGACCCUCUAUAUUGUUACUGCUAGUCUUCUAAUCAGCUAUCUCCUACCAGACCCGUUGAUAAACACAAAGGACGGUCCUCACCUUUGUGGUGCCCUGUCCUCCUGGAGACCUUGACAUUAAUGGACAAGGGCAGCCUGGUCCAGAGACGGUCCAUGAGAAGUUGGCCUUGGGAAACAAAAGUGCUACAGGAAUGAACCUACUCUGUAUUGUUACUAAAACCGUUAGUGUUAUUGUUAUUAAAAUUACUUUCAUUUAA